GAUGAACGCUGGCGGCGUGCUUAACACAUGCAAGUCGAACGAAGCACUUUAAAACAAUCUUUCGGGUGCGUUUUACUGUGACUUAGUGGCGGACGGGUGAGUAACGCGUGGGUAACCUGCCUCAUGCAGGGGGAUAACAGUUAGAAAUGACUGCUAAUACCGCAUAAGCGCACAGUACCGCAUGGUACAGUGUGAAAAGAUUUAUCAGCAUGAGAUGGACCCGCGUCUGAUUAGCUAGUUGGUAAGGUAACGGCUCACCAAGGCGACGAUCAGUAGCCGACUUGAGAGGGUGACCGGCCACACUGGGACUGAGAUACGGCCCAGACUCCUACGGGAGGCAGCAGUGGGGAAUAUUGCACAAUGGGCGCAAGCCUGAUGCAGCGACGCCGCGUGAGGGAUGACGGCCUUCGGGUUGUAAACCUCUUUCAGUAGGGACGAAGCGCAAGUGACGGUACCUACAGAAGAAGGACCGGCCAACUACGUGCCAGCAGCCGCUGUAACAC
rnacentral:rRNA from 1 species